UACGUAGGUGGCAAGCGUUGUCCGGAUUUAUUGGGUUUAAAGGGUGCGUAGGCGGUCUUAUAAGUCAGUGCUGAAAUAUCCCGGCUUAACCGGGAGGGUGGCAUUGAUACUGUAGGACUUGAGUAAAGUUGAGGUUGGCGGAAUUGACGGUGUAGCGGUGAAAUGCUUAGAUAUCGUCAAGAACACCUAUUGCGAAGGCAGCUAACUAAGCUUAACUGACGCUGAGGCACGAAAGUGUGGGGAUCAAACAGG
rnacentral:rRNA from 1 species